rnacentral:rRNA from 1 species
UACGGAGGGUGCAAGCGUUAUCCGGAUUUACUGGGUUUAAAGGGUGCGUAGGUGGGUCUGUAAGUCAGUGGUGAAAUCUUCGAGCUUAACUCGGAAACUGCCAUUGAUACUAUAGGUCUUGAAUCAUCUGGAGGUGAGCGGAAUAUGUCAUGUAGCGGUGAAAUGCUUAGAUAUGACAUAGAACACCGAUUGCGAAGGCAGCUCACUACGGAUGUAUUGACACUGAGGCACGAAAGCGUGGGGAUCAAAC